rnacentral:rRNA from 1 species
CAACAGCUAGAGUUUGAUCCUGGCUCAGGAUGAACGCUGGCGGCGUGCCUAACACAUGCAAGUCGAGCGAACUCUUCGGAGUGAGCGGCGGACGGGUGAGUAACGCGUGGGUAACCUGCCCUGUACACAUGGAUAACAUACCGAAAGGUAUGCUAAUACAAGAUAAAAUAUAUUUAUCGCAUGAUAGAUAUAUCAAAGCGUUAGCGGUACAGGAUGGACCCGCGUCUGAUUAGCUAGUUGGUAAGGUAAAGGCUUACCAAGGCGACGAUCAGUAGCCGACCUGAGAGGGUGAUCGGCCACAUUGGAACUGAGACACGGUCCAAACUCCUACGGGAGGCAGCAGUGGGGAAUAUUGCACAAUGGGCGAAAGCCUGAUGCAGCAACGCCGCGUGAGCGAAGAAGGCCUUCGGGUCGUAAAGCUCUGUCCUCAAGGAAGAUAAUGACGGUACUUGAGGAGGAAGCCCCGGCUAACUACGUGCC